UUGAAAGGGAAACGAUUGAAGUCAGUCGUACCUGUGGGUAAUCAGCCUUUUGGGUGUGAUUUUGUGGAGUGUGAGGAGUUAAACGCCUUCAUGCCUGCAUAUUCGUGCACUUUGGGUGUAUUUACCCGUGUGGUAAGUUAACAUCAAUUUCGGUGGUCAUAAAAUGGCUGGAGGAGUGUAGCUUCGAUCUUGUAUUGAAGUGUUAUAGCCUUCGGUAGAUGUGAUGAUCGGGAUUGAGGAUUGCAACGGAUACCCCUCGGGGCUACCUGUCUGAUCUCUGAUCGUUGCUCUGGUGCCGAAAGCUUGCUUACGGUUAUCAAAGUCGAUGGUUAAUAGGUUAGAACGGGUUAAAUUCGUUAAGGAUGUUGACGUA
rnacentral:rRNA from 1 species